AUUCUCCAUAAUGACGAAGGCAAAGAAGGAUAAGUCGGUGGUUUGCAUAGUGAAGAGAUAAUGAGUUUCAUUUUUAACAAGUUGAGUUUGAAGUUCAGACAAAAAUUUCAGGAACUGAUGUAAAAGAGACUCUUGUUACUUCCUGUGGAACCCGUGGAUUGGAAGGUUAUCUAGGCUGCUGCAGAACUCUUCCACCCUGUGCACAGAGAAGUACAUAAAGUGGGAUCUUUCUCAGUGGAGCAGUAUAUAAAACAGAUGCAGACUGAAGGAUGUUAGAAGCACAAAGAAGGUCAUGUGCACGACAUUCAGCUGAGUACAAAAUUCAACAUCUGGAAGAGUAGAGACAGGGUUUCACCAUGUCACCAUGUUGGCCAGGAUGGUCUCGAUCUCCUGACCUCGUGAUCC
rnacentral:lncRNA from 1 species